rnacentral:rRNA from 1 species
UACGAGAGGCCCAAACGUUAUUCGGAAUUACUGGGCUUAAAGAGUUCGUAGGCGGCGCGGAAAGUAGGGUGUGAAAGCCCUCGGCUUAACCGAGGAAUUGCGCCCUAAACUACUGUGCUUGAGGAACCUAGAGGUGAGCAGAACAGAUGGUGGAGCGGUGAAAUGCGUUGAUAUCAUCUGGAAUACCGGAGGCGAAGGCGGCUCACUGGGGGUUUUCUGACGCUGAGGAACGAAAGCCAGGGUAGCGAACGGG